rnacentral:rRNA from 1 species
AUUGAACGCUGGCGGCAUGCCUUACACAUGCAAGUCGAACGGCAGCACGGGGCAACCUGGUGGCGAGUGGCGAACGGGUGAGUAAUGCAUCGGAACGCACCUUUCAGUGGGGGAUAACGUAGCGAAAGUUACGCUAAUACCGCAUAUUCUGUGAGCAGGAAAGCAGGGGAUCGCAAGACCUUGCGCUGAUUGAGCGGCCGAUGUCAGAUUAGCUAGUUGGUGAGGUAAAGGCUCACCAAGGCGACGAUCUGUAGCGGGUCUGAGAGGAUGAUCCGCCACACUGGAACUGCGACACGGUCCAGACUCCUACGGGAGGCAGCAGUGGGGAAUUUUGGACAAUGGGGGCAACCCUGAUCCAGCCAUGCCGCGUGAGUGAAGAAGGCCUUCGGGUUGUAAAGCUCUUUCGGCCGGGAAGAAAUCGCACGGGCUAAUACCCUGUGUGGAUGACGGUACCGGAAUAAGAAGCACCGGCUAACUACGUGCCAGCAGCCGCGGUAA